rnacentral:rRNA from 1 species
CCUACGGGAGGCAGCAGUGGGGGAUAUUGCACAAUGGGGGGAACCCUGAUGCAGCGACGCCGCGUGGGUGAAGAAGCGCCUCGGCGCGUAAAGCCCUGUCAGCAGGGAAGAAAAUGACGGUACCUGAAGAAGAAGCCCCGGCGAACUACGUACCAGCAGCCGCGGUAAUACGUAGGGGGCAAGCGUUAUCAGGAUUUACUGGGUGGAAAGGGGGCGGAGACGGCGAUGCAAGGCAGGAGUGAAAACCCGGGGCCCACCCCCGGGACUGCUCUUGGAAGGGCGUGGCUGGAGUGCAGGAGGGGCAGGCGGAAUUCCUGGUGUAGCGGUGAAAUUCGUAGAUAUCAGGAGGAACACCGGUGGCGAAGGCGGCCUGCUGGACUGCAACUGACGUUGAGGCCCGAAAGCGUGGGGAGCAAACAGGAUUAGAUACCCGGGUAGUC